UAAAAACUACCAGCACUCAGUCCUUCUGCUCAGAGAUUUGGUUUAAUUUGUUCUGUUUUUGGAACUGGGUGUUGCUAGGUAGUUUUGAUGCACAGGGUGGUUGAAUCCUACUGACUUAGGUUAAUUAGGGAAUACUUUUGGUGAGGCAGGGGAGGGCCCUUUCUGGGGUUUCAUUGCAGUAUGUUAAAUAUAUGUACUCCUUUACACCUCAGACUUUUCUUUUUGUCUUUCCCUGUACACCAUACUCCAUUUGUUUCUCCAUGCACAGGGCAUCCUGUUCCCAAACCAGAGCUGAUCUAUCUACUGGAAC
rnacentral:lncRNA from 10 species